rnacentral:tRNA from 1 species
ACGCUUUUAGUUUAGUGGUAAAACAAAGGUCUCCAAAACCUAAGAGGUUGGUUCGAUUCCAACAGAGCGUG